rnacentral:rRNA from 1 species
AUUGAACGCUGGCGGCGUGCCUAACACAUGCAAGUCGAUCGGUAACAGGUGUAGCAAUACAUGCUGACGAGAGGCGGACGGGUGAGUAACGCUUGGGAAUCUGCCUUUUAGUGGGGGACAACCCGGGGAAACUCGGGCUAAUACCGCAUACGCUCUACGGAGGAAAGCCGGGGACCGCAAGGCCUGGCGCUAAUAGAUGAGCCCAAGUCGGAUUAGCUAGUUGGUAGGGUAACGGCCUACCAAGGCGACGAUCCGUAGCUGGUCUGAGAGGACGACCAGCCACACUGGGACUGAGACACGGCCCAGACUCCUACGGGAGGCAGCAGUGGGGAAUAUUGGAUAAUGGGGGAAACCCUGAUCCAGCGACGCCGCGUGGGUGAAGAAGGCCUGCGGGUUGUAAAGCCCUUUC